UGGGGAAUUUUGCGCAAUGGGCGAAAGCCUGACGCAGCAACGCCGCGUGUGUGAUGAAGGUCUUCGGAUUGUAAAGCACUUUCGACCGGGACGAAAACCCGUAGCCCAACACGCUACGGCUUGACGGUACCGGGAGAAGAAGCACCGGCUAACUACGU
rnacentral:rRNA from 1 species